rnacentral:rRNA from 1 species
AUUGAACGCUGGCGGCAUGCUUUACACAUGCAAGUCGAACGGUAACAGGGUGCUUGCACCGCUGACGAGUGGCGAACGGGUGAGUAAUGCGUCGGAACGUGCCGAGUAGUGGGGGAUAACGCAGCGAAAGUUGUGCUAAUACCGCAUACGUACUGAGGUAGAAAGUGGGGGACCUUCGGGCCUCACGCUAUUCGAGCGGCCGACGUCUGAUUAGCUAGUAGGUGAGGUAAAGGCUCACCUAGGCGACGAUCAGUAGCGGGUCGGAGAGGAUGAUCCGCCAAACUGGGACUGAGACACGGCCCAGACUCCUACGGGAGGCAGCAGUGGGGAAUUUUGGACAAUGGGCGAAAGCCUGAUCCAGCCAUGCCGCGUGUCUGAAGAAGGCCUUCGGGUUGUAAAGGACUUUUGUUAGGGAGGAAAUCCCUAGUGCUAAUAACACUGGGGGAUGACAGUACCUGAAGAAUAAGCACCGGCUAACUACGUGCCAGCCGCCGCCGUAA